GCGGCAGCCCGGGCGCUCGGAUGCGCGCAGGGCUACAUUUCCCCCGUAGCUUUUUUUUUAUUAUUUUUUUUUUAAUUUUUUUGUUUCUUUUUUUUUUCUCUCUCUCUCUCUCCGCAGCCCGCCCUGCUGCAGCGCCAGGGAGAGCAGCCGCCCCGAUGCCCAGAGGUGCCGGGUGCCGCCGGCCGCUUGCCCGGGGAACAGCGGCGACGGCUCCCCUGGUUCCUCACAGGGAAGAAGCCCCCAGCCCCUGGACAGCUAUGUUCACCUUCGCUCGGAAACCUUUGUAAAGAUGGAUCUCACUCCGUGCCGUGGCGUUUUGCUGCGGUUGCGCUGCAGUUGGAUGGCUCGCGCGAUAAGGAUUUGUUUCCAGCAGCGGGAGAGUUUGGAGCACGGGGAAAUGGGAUGGGUUUUGUUAUAAAUGUUGGCAAAAUUUCAGCUCAUUCAAAAUCAGCAGCAAAGCUCUGUCUUCAGUGGGACAAGGGGUGACUGACAGAAUCUCAAAAGGAUGGGAUUGAAAAGGAAGCUGGGAAGGCAGAAGCAGAUUGUACUUCCUAUGUUGAGAAACAUGGAUAGACUCAACCUAUACACAACUGACAGGCAGAGGGCCCAGAAUAUGUUCUGCCAAAGGAAAAGGGAGAGAAAAAGACUCAAAUUCUUAGAGUGUGUGGAUACAUUUCGUUAGAAGAUGAAUGUGAAAAGUCUUGAGAAACAGACAUGGCACUACUUCAUGGAAAAAUAAGAGGCAAGGACCACUGGCUUGAACAAGUGCAUGACAAUUCUUAGGAUGCUUGUGCUGAAAGACUUCUCUUAAUGGACCCUGAUGGGAUUUAGUUUGAUUUGUUCCAGAAUGGAAUUGCCCUUGUUUCUGCUGCUGCAGGCUCAUGAUCUGGAACCUGGGACUUGAGCAGGACUGAGGGAUGCAUGCAAGUGGUAAGAAGCUGGAUCAUCUUUCUUCAUCUGCUCACAGCCUUCACAGAAUUUGCAAGUGUGACAAAGUAUUUCAUCCCUUUACAGGAUUAGGGAUGUGGAUUUGCCUCUCACCAAAGUGCUGCUGGCUGCCUGCUGGAGGGUGUCUGUAAGACCUGAUUUAACCUGAAGCAUGCACUUCUUCAGGAGGUCUGCAGCAGGGCUGGAGGACUGCAAACACUGCAUCCCUUCCCUCCUGUCACCCGCUUCCACAUGACUGCAGUGCCUGUACUGUGCUCUCAGCUCCCUCACUCUGAAAUGUUCGUCAUGACGGUUUGUACGGAGGUGCCUUGGAGCAGGCUUUAGUUUUGGUGGCAGUCCCCCUUGUUGCCAUGUCAUUCAAGAAGAUGGCUUUAUCCUUGCCUUUAUUCCACUGGGACCAGCUGCUCUACCCACAGGCACCAAAAGUGGCAAAUCUUCCAUAACAUUUUUUAAUUUUCAACUGAAGCUCUACAUCUGAACUUCUUUGGUUUUUUUGAGAGGUAAAGACUUUUUUUCCCUUUUUUUUUUUUUUUGAAACCGCACCAAAUAAAAACCCAAACGGCGAAACCCAACAAAGCCAAAACUGUCAGAAAAAAAAUAAAUCAAAACCCACACGUUGAACCCAAGUUGGAGAAAUAACUGCAUUGUGUGACUGAUACAGUCCAUGGGAGUACAAAGCAUUCGCAGUCUAGUCUUGCACAUCCAAUCCCUAAACCUAUUAAUAGAUUUUAGGCAUGAGCAUAGACAUGGAGAUGGGCAGGAGCAGUUUGCCAUGCAAACAUUUAUCUGUGAGCCCCAACGUAUUUUCUAGAACUGAAGAUUUUAGUGUGAUAAAGUGGACAUUUUAAAGCACUGGUGGAGAUAGGGGGGAUGUAACUGCACUUAAACUGAGGGUGGAUUAGGCAUUCUCAUAUCUUGGAGUCUGCCAGUAAAUAGCAAAGUAUAUAAGCAAUGGAAGGAAAUAUGUCCUUCUUAAUCUAUAAAAAGAAAAGGACAGUUUUGAAAAUCCAUCAGUCUUUCAAAUCAUCUUAAGGCAUAUUGAUUCUGAAUCAUCACAGGGGUGUUCUUAUUAGUGAUCUAAAAAUAUAAAUGUAGUUGAAUACAUGAAAAACUGUAUCUUAUUCCAGUUGCCUGUAUUACUCAAUAAAUGAUACCGGCUCUCUCUUC